UUUAUUUCACUUAUGUAAACCCUAGCGGAUCCGUAUACACUGUGUAUACUAGGUGUAAAUUCGGUGUAAACUUGGUGUGGUGUAUACUGGGGGGAUACAGUAGGUAUAUUUGGUAUUUUUCGGAUAAA